AUGACUAGGGAUAACCUUAGGAAGAGACACAUCAUCAAACCCCUUGAUUGUGUUUACUGCUUGGAACAAGAGUCUUGUUCUCACCUAUUUUUUGAAUGUAUAGUUGCUAAACAUCUCUGGGCCCACAUUGAGGAAUAUUUCUCUAGUCAGAUUGGCUCAUCCUUCGAAUCUGUCACCAGAUUCUGGAUUGCUACCAAAAAGUGCUCAGUUUUAAACACUGUUAGCUCAGCUGUCCUUUGGUGCCUCUAGAAAUAUAGAAAUGCUAUGAUUUUCAGUAACACCUCCUGGAUUUCCAUUCCGCAGGUCUUGAGGUUGAUCAGGAACAUGGUGAGGAACUGGGCGAUUCUCUCCUCCGGAUCGGACAAGGACAAGUUGAUGAGCUUCGUGGAAACCCUAACAAGAUCCCUCCAGAAACCGUUGGCGAUCACUUGUGGCUGA
rnacentral:rRNA from 1 species